rnacentral:rRNA from 1 species
GACGUACGCUGGCGGCGUGCUUAACACAUGCAAGUCGAACGAAGUGGCGAACGGGUGAGUAACGCGUAAUCAACCUGCCCUUCAGAGGGGGCCAACAGUUGGAAACGACUGCUAAUACCGCAAACUGAAGGAGGGGAUUGCGUCUGAUUAGCUAGUUGGAGGGGUAACGGCCCACCAAGGCGAUGAUCAGUAGCCGGUCUGAGAGGAGGAACGGCCACAUUGGGACGGUGACACGGCCCAGUCCCCUACGGGAGGCAGCAGUGGGGAAUCUUCCGCAAUGGACGAAAGUCUGACGGAGCAACGCCGCGUGAGAGAUGACGGCCGUCGGGUUGUAAAGCUCUGUUAUUCGGGACGCGGUACCGGAAUAGAAAGCCACGGCUAACUACGUGCCAGCCGCCGCGGUAAUAC